AUGCAGUCGAACGCUUCUUUUUCCACCGGAGCUUGCUCCACCGGAAAAAGAGGAGUGGCGAACGGGUGAGUAACACGUGGGUAACCUGCCCAUCAGAAGGGGAUAACACUUGGAAACAGGUGCUAAUACCGUAUAACAAUCAAAACCGCAUGGUUUUGAUUUGAAAGGCGCUUUCGGGUGUCGCUGAUGGAUGGACCCGCGGUGCAUUAGCUAGUUGGUGAGGUAACGGCUCACCAAGGCCACGAUGCAUAGCCGACCUGAGAGGGUGAUCGGCCACAUUGGGACUGAGACACGGCCCAAACUCCUACGGGAGGCAGCAGUAGGGAAUCUUCGGCAAUGGACGAAAGUCUGACCGAGCAACGCCGCGUGAGUGAAGAAGGUUUUCGGAUCGUAAAACUCUGUUGUUAGAGAAGAACAAGGAUGAGAGUAACUGUUCAUCCCUUGACGGUAUCUAACCAGAAAGCCACGGCUAACUACGUGCCAGCAGCCGCGGUAAUACGUAGGUGGCAAGCGUUGUCCGGAUUUAUUGGGCGUAAAGCGAGCGCAGGCGGUUUCUUAAGUCUGAUGUGAAAGCCCCCGGCUCAACCGGGGAGGGUCAUUGGAAACUGGGAGACUUGAGUGCAGAAGAGGAGAGUGGAAUUCCAUGUGUAGCGGUGAAAUGCGUAGAUAUAUGGAGGAACACCAGUGGCGAAGGCGGCUCUCUGGUCUGUAACUGACGCUGAGGCUCGAAAGCGUGGGGAGCAAACAGGAUUAGAUACCCUGGUAGUCCACGCCGUAAACGAUGAGUG
rnacentral:rRNA from 1 species